CUCCUCCAAUCCCCACCUGCUCCUCUCCUCUCCUCCCCCAAUCCUGCUUGGCUGCCUCCUGCCUCCUCUCAUCCAAUCCGCCGCCUUCCUCCUUCUCUCGCGGCGGCGCGUCUGGAGGAACCGGCCUGAGAAGGAGCGGCCAGCCUGAGCGAUGGAGGUGCCCGCAGGGGGUCACCACGGCUUGGGAGGCCGAUUCGGGUGGUGGCGUUGGUGGCGGCGGGUGGAGGUGAGGCGGGAGCGGGCAGAGACGGGAUCGCGCGGGGCGGAUCCACGGCGGUGGCGACUGGUGGCGCCGGGCGCGGCCGGAGACGGGCCGGCGCGGGGUGGAUCCGCUCCGGCGACGACGGGAGGCGACGGGCUCGCGCGGGGCGGAUCCGUGGCGGUGGCGACUGGAGGUGCCGGGCGCGGUCGAAGACGGGUCGGCACGGGGCGGAUCCGCUCCGGCGACGACCAGAGGCGAUGGGCGCGGCCGGAGACGGGCCAACCGGAGGUGGAGGAGCAGCGAGGGGCGACGCUGGGACGGUGGUGGAGGAGGAGCGACGAGCGCGCCGGCCACUCGCCGGAGCACAUCAGCAUCUCGUCUCUCGUCAAUAUUACUUCCCCAUGUUAAGCUUGACACGGCCUGCCGAAGUUGCAAGUGGUGACUGGUGAGCAAGAGCAAAGUUGCUACCUCGCUUGAAGAGCUCUGACCUGUCACCGGGAGGCCUCAUCCAAAUUGCUACCCAUCAACUUCGUUGGACUCGCCAAGCAGGCGGGGCACCCCUCUCGGAAAAUCUGAGGGUUAUUAGGUCAUUUGAGACCUGAAUUAUAAGCACAGUCAUGUAUUUGUGACAAUUAUUAGAAGGAAAUGGUCGAGAACUUGGAUGUGAGGGUGCCCUGGUGUGGGAGGCGCCGCGGCCUCGGCAGACCAGACGGACUCCAAUGUGGAAGGGAGCAAGAAGGAAGGGACAAUUUUUUUCGGGUCGAUUGUUGCUGUUUUGGGUUGGUUACCACAUCAACUAGGUUGUGUUCUCCUUUAAGCUCUCGAUCUCUUGACGGCGCUGCUGCUCCUGGUAUUCCUAUCUUCUCGAUAUUUAUUAUUUUGUUUCUUACUUUGUAGGCUUAUUUGUGUUGCCUCAAACAUGAGACUGCUGAGAGUGUUCCUAGGCUGAAUAUGGCUACUAUUUGGGUGCCAGGUGACAUGGUUUUAAAUAGGGCAUUAGAUUUUGAUUUGCUGUG